rnacentral:rRNA from 1 species
UACCGCGGUUAUACGAGAGGCCCAAGCUGACAAAACACGGCGUAAAGCGUGGUUAAAGAGAGAUCAAUACUAAAGCCGAACACCCUCAUGGCAGUUAUACGCAUCCGAAGGUUAGAAGCCCAACUACGAAAGUGGCUUUAUCCCCCUUGAACCCACGAGAGCUAAGGCA